rnacentral:lncRNA from 1 species
CAGGGGUGCAGUAACCCGGUCUAACUUGAUUGAGAUGGGAUGGCCAUUCUUUUCCAGACAUUUUACAUUGUUUUGGUCCAAUCCACUGAUAAGCCAGAAAUGUCGACAUGUAUUUGUGGGGUUCUGAUUAUAAAGUAAAAGUACAUAACAAAUAAAAGAAUGUAUCCACUAAACAGUGCCUUCCUGUUGCAGCUCAUACAUAUGAUAGGCACCUGUUAGUCACCCCAAUCUUGGCCGAAAGCUUUGGCUUUUCCUGUUUCUAAACAACCAUACAAUACAACCAUACAUUACAACUUACUUUCCCAUCACAUCAUCACUUGAAAAAAUAUUAUAUUAUUCCACCACUGUUUAUCUAUGUAUAUGAAAAGGUAUUAAGUUAACGUAAAAGAAAUAUUUUUGGGUGGGAAGUAUAUAUAUAAUGAGUUUGGUUAUUUACUGUUGGUGUGAAAAAAGGGUGUAGGUGUGUGCAGGGCUAGAAGUAAUGUAGAAUAGGUAGUGGUGGUGUUGUUGUGUGAAAACUAGGAUAAAAGGGUGGUGGUGGUGGGUUUAUACCGUAAGUUAUAGAUGAUAUUUGAAGGAUAAGGAGGGUAAAAGGGAAAGGGAAAUGAUGAAUGUUGCGGUCAGCAAAGUAGUGAUAAAAGAGAUUCUCAUAAAAGAGUACGACAUCCAACAUUAAUGCCGAGAGAAGAAAGAGAGAGGAAAUGUUAUUGGUUUCAAUCUCCUCAGAAAGAGAAAGUGCACAAACACCUUUUCUUCUCAUGCCAUACUAUAUCAUUCACAGGCUUCUCUGCUGCCAAUCAGAUUAGUUGCUAUCCAUUUCCACUUUUUUCUGUUCAAUCCCUAUUUUCUUCACAUCAACACAAUCUUCAAAACCCUGUCAUUCAAAAAUGUUUUCACAUUAUUAAUCUCGACCAUGCUACACUUCUAACUAACCAAUACUAUUUUACUAAGUGGUCUUGUUCUUAGACAAAAACACCUACUAUCUUUUAUGAGAAACACCAGGCACAAACACGUUCUAAUACUAGUAGAUAUUAUUGGAUUUCAUGCACUGUUAUGAGAAAAAAUCCUGUUUUAUGUUUCC